rnacentral:rRNA from 1 species
AGCGUAAUCACUUGUUCUUUAAAUGAGGACUAGUAUGAAUGGCCCCACGAGGGCUGCACUGUCUCCUUUUUCUAAUCAAUGAAACUAAUCUCCCCGUGAAGAAGCGGGGAUAAUCCUAUAAGACGAGAAGACCCUAUGGAGCUUUAAACAACUGAAACACUUGCUUUUUCCUUAACCUCUUCUGAGUUCUUUACUUCAUCUAAGCAUUUUUAUUUCUAGUUUUAGGUUGGGGUGACCACGGAGCAAAACUUAACCUCCACGAAGAAAUGAAUACUUUUUUAGCCACAAACUACUUUUUUAAGCAUCAACAAAUUGACCUUCAUUGACCCAAUAUAUUGAUCAACGAACCAAGUUACCCUAGGGAUAACAGCGCAAUCUACUUCAAGAGCUCAUAUCGACAAGUAGGUUUACGACCUCGAUGUUGGAUCAGGGUAUCCUAGUGGUGCAGCCGCUACUAAUGGUUCGUUUGUUCAACGAUUAAAACCCUACGUGAUCUGAGUUCAGACCG